rnacentral:rRNA from 1 species
GACGUAGGGCGCGAGCGUUGUCCGGAUUUAUUGGGCGUAAAGAGCUCGUAGGCGGUGUGUCGCGUCGGCCGUGAAAACCUGCAGCUUAACUGUGGGCUUGCGGUCGAUACGGGCAUCACUGGAGUUCGGCAGGGGAGACUGGAAUUCCUGGUGUAGCGGUGAAAUGCGCAGAUAUCAGGAGGAACACCGGUGGCGAAGGCGGGUCUCUGGGCCGGAUGACUGACGCUUGAGGAGCGAAAGCGUGGGGAGCGAACAGG